rnacentral:rRNA from 1 species
AUUGAACGCUGGCGGCAGGCCUAACACAUGCAAGUCGAGCGGAGCGGCGGACGGGUGAGUAAUACCUAGGAAUCGGCCUGUUAGUGGGGGAUAACGUUCGGUAACGGACGCUAAUACCGCAUCCUAUCAGAUGAGCCUAGGUCGGAUUAGCUAGUUGGUGAGGUAAUGGUUAACCAAGGCUAAGAUCCGUAACUGGUCUGAGAGGAUGAUGAGUCACACUGGAACUGAGACACGGCCCAGACUCCUACGGGAGGCAGCAGUGGGGAAUAUUGGACAAUGGGCGAAAGCCUGAUCCAGCCAUGCCGCGUGUAUGAAGAAGGUCUUCGGGUUGUAAAGCACUUUAAGUUGGGAGGCGUUACCGACAGAAUAAGCACCGGCUAACUCUGUGCCAGCAGCCGCGGUAAUUC